UACGUAGGGGGCAAGCGUUGUCCGGAAUCAUUGGGCGUAAAGCGCGUGUAGGCGGCCCGGUAAGUCCGCUGUAAAAGUCCAGGGCUCAACCCUGGAAAGCCGGUGGAUACUGUCGGGCUCGAGUCCGGAAGAGGCGAGUGGAAUUCCUGGUGUAGCGGUGAAAUGCGCAGAUAUCGGAAGGAACACCAAUGGCGAAGGCAGCCGCCUGGGCCUGAUCUGACACUGAGACACGAAAGCGUGGGGAUCAAACAGG
rnacentral:rRNA from 1 species